rnacentral:rRNA from 1 species
UAGGGAAUCUUCGGCAAUGGACGGAAGUCUGACCGAGCAACGCCGCGUGAGUGAUGACGGCCUUCGGGUUGUAAAGCUCUGUUAAUCGGGACGAAUGGUUUUUGUGCAAAUAGUGCGAGGAUUUGACGGUACCGGAAUAGAAAGCCACGGCUAACUACGUGCCAGCAGCCGCGGUAAUACGUAGGUGGCAAGCGUUGUCCGGAAUUAUUGGGCGUAAAGCGCGCGCAGGCGGAUUGGUCAGUCUGUCUUAAAAGUUCGGGGCUUAACCCCGUGAUGGGAUGGAAACUGCCAAUCUAGAGUAUCGGAGAGGAAAGUGGAAUUCCUAGUGUAGCGGUGAAAUGCGUAGAUAUUAGGAAGAACACCAGUGGCGAAGGCGACUUUCUGGACGAAAACUGACGCUGAGGCGCGAAAGCCAGGGGAGCGAACGGGAUUAGAUACCCCGGUAGUCCUGGCCGUAAACGAUGGGUACUAGGUGUAGGAGGUAUCGACCCCUUCUGUGCCGGAGUUAACGCAAUAAGUACCCCGCCUGGGGAGUACGACCGCAAGGUUG